rnacentral:rRNA from 1 species
UACGGAAGGCAGCAGUGGGGAAUAUUGCACAAUGGGCGAAAGCCUGAUGCAGCUAUGCCGCGUGUAUGAAGAAGGCCUUAGGGUUGUAAAGUACUUUCAUCGGGGAGGAAAAAACAAAACUAAUAAUUUUAUUUCUUGACGUUACCCGAAAAAGAAGCACCGGCUAACUCCGUGCCAGCAGCCGCGGUAAUACGGAGGGUGCUAGCGUUAAUCAGAAUUACUGGGCGUAAAGAGCACGUAGGUGGUUUUUUUAAGUCAGAUGUGAAAUCCCUGGGCUUAACCUAGGAACUGCAUUUUGAAACUGAAAUACUAGAGUAUCGUAGAGGGAGGUAGAAUUCUAGGUGUAGCGGUGAAAUGCGUAGAUAUCUGGAGGAAUACCUGUGGCGAAAGCGGCCUCCUAAACGAAUACUGACACUGAGGUGCGAAAGCGUGGGGAGCAAACGAGGAUUAGAUACC